CACAUGCAAGUCGAGCGGCAGCGGGAAAGUAGCUUGCUACUUUUGCCGGUGAGCGGCGGACGGGUGAGUAAUGCCUGGGAAAUUGCCCAGUCGAGGGGGAUAACAGUUGGAAACGACUGCUAAUACCGCAUACGCCCUACGGGGGAAAGCAGGGGACCUUCGGGCCUUGCGCGAUUGGAUAUGCCCAGGUGGGAUUAGCUAGUUGGUGAGGUAAUGGCUCACCAAGGCGACGAUCCCUAGCUGGUCUGAGAGGAUGAUCAGCCACACUGGAACUGAGACACGGUCCAGACUCCUACGGGAGGCAGCAGUGGGGAAUAUUGCACAAUGGGGGAAACCCUGAUGCAGCCAUGCCGCGUGUGUGAAGAAGGCCUUCGGGUUGUAAAGCACUUUCAGCGAGGAGGAAAGGUCAGUAGCUAAUAUCUGCUGACUGUGACGUUACUCGCAGAAGAAGCACCGGCUAACUCCGUGCCAGCAGCCGCGGUAAUACGGAGGGUGCAAGCGUUAAUCGGAAUUACUGGGCGUAAAGCGCACGCAGGCGGUUGGAUAAGUUAGAUGUGAAAGCCCCGGGCUCAACCUGGGAAUUGCAUUUAAAACUGUCCAGCUAGAGUCUUGUAGAGGGGGGUAGAAUUCCAGGUGUAGCGGUGAAAUGCGUAUAGAUCUGGAGGAAUACCGGUGGCGAAAGCGGCCCCCUGGACAAAGACUGACCUCAGGUGCUAAAGCCUGGGGACAACAGGAUUAGAUACCCUGGUAGUCCCCCCUUAACCAUGUCUAUUUGGAGGCUGUGUCCUUGAAACUGGCUUUCCGAACUAAGCCGUUAAUCUACCGCCUGGGGAGUACGGCCGCAAGGUUAAACUCAAAUGAAUUUCUGGGGGCCCCACAACGGGGGAACAUGUGGGUUAAUCGAUCACCUGAAAACCUUACUGCCUUAAUUUUGGAAACUGUAAAAUCCGGAUUCUUCGGAAUAAAAAAAAGGGUGCAGGCUGCCCCCCCCGGCGGGAAGUUGGUUAACCCCCCCUGCCCCCCUCUUUUUCCCCUUUGGGGGACCAGGAACCCGGGUACCGGAAGGGGGGAAUAUUUUGCCUUCCCGGUACCGGUUUAUGGGAAAGGUUCUCUUAGACACCAAACCCUCCGGGGGCCCUCCCCAGAGAUUUAUC
rnacentral:rRNA from 1 species